rnacentral:rRNA from 1 species
CCUACGGGCGGCAGCAGUGGGGAAUAUUGCACAAUGGGCGCAAGCCUGAUGCAGCCAUGCCGCGUGUGUGAAGAAGGCCUUCGGGUUGUAAAGCACUUUCAGCGGGGAGGAAGGCGUUAAGGUUAAUAACCUUGGCGAUUGACGUUACCCGCAGAAGAAGCACCGGCUAACUCCGUGCCAGCAGCCGCGGUAAUACGGAGGGUGCAAGCGUUAAUCGGAAUUACUGGGCGUAAAGCGCACGCAGGCGGUCUGUCAAGUCGGAUGUGAAAUCCCCGGGCUCAACCUGGGAACUGCAUUCGAAACUGGCAGGCUAGAGUCUUGUAGAGGGGGGUAGAAUUCCAGGUGUAGCGGUGAAAUGCAUAGAGAUCUGGAGGAAUACCGGUGGCGAAGGCGGCCCCCUGGACAAAGACUGACGCUCAGGUGCGAAAGCGUGGGGAGCAAACAGGAUUAGAUACCCGAGUAGUC